AGGGAGUUUGAUCCUGGCUCAGGAUGAACGCUGGCGGCGCGCCUAACACAUGCAAGUCGAACGGUUAAAGCACCUUCGGGUGUGUAUAAAGUGGCGAACGGCUGAGUAACACGUGGGCAACCUGCCCCUCGCACCGGGACAGCCUCGGGAAACCGUGGUUAAUACCGGAUACGCCCCCUUGAGGACAUCCUCUCGGGGGGAAAGCCCCGACGGCGAGGGAUGGGCCCGCGGCCUGUUAGCUAGUUGGUGGGGUAACGGCCCACCAAGGCCAUUAUGGGUAGCUGGGUUGAGAGACCGACCAGCCAGAUUGGGACUGAGACACGGCCCAGACUCCUACGGGAGGCAGCAGUGGGGAAUCUUGCACAAUGGGCGAAAGCCUGAUGCAGCGACGCCGCGUGCGGGAUGAAGGCCUUCGGGUUGUAAACCGCUUUCAGCAGGGACGAGGCCGCGAGGUGACGGUACCUGCAGAAGAAGCCCCGGCUAACUACGUGCCAGCAGCCGCGGUAAUACGUAGGGGGCGAGCGUUAUCCGGAUUCAUUGGGCGUAAAGCGCGCGUAGGCGGCCCGUUAGGUCGGGAGUUAAAUCCGGGGGCUCAACCCCCGCCCGCUCCCGAUACCGGCGGGCUUGAGUCUGGUAGGGGAAGGCGGAAUUCCCAGUGUAGCGGUGGAAUGCGCAGAUAUUGGGAAGAACACCGGUGGCGAAGGCGGCCUUCUGGGCCACGACUGACGCUGAGGCGCGAAAGCUAGGGGAGCGAACAGGAUUAGAUACCCUGGUAGUCCCCU
rnacentral:rRNA from 1 species